CUUGGUCAUUUAGAGGAAGUAAAAGUCGUAACAAGGUUUCCGUAGGUGAACCUGCGGAAGGAUCAUUAAUGAUUGACCGUCUGUCGAGCUUGCUCACAGGCACAUCAUAUCCAUAACACCUGUGCACUUGUCGGAUGGCUUAGUGAAGACCGCAAGGUUGAAUCUAUCCAUCUACUUUACAUAACAAUUCUGUAACAAAUGUAGUCUUAUUAUAACAUAAUAAAACUUUCAACAACGGAUCUCUUGGCUCUCGCAUCGAUGAAGAACGCAGCGAAAUGCGAUAAGUAAUGUGAAUUGCAGAAUUCAGUGAAUCAUCGAAUCUUUGAACGCACCUUGCGCUCCUUGGCAUUCCGAGGAGCAUGCCUGUUUGAGUGUCAUGUUAAUCUCAAUCCCCUGGGUUUGUUAUGAACUCUUGAGAUUGGACUUGGAGGUACUGCUGGCUUCACCGUCGGCUCCUCUUGAAUGUAUUAGCUGGGCCUUUAGCCUCGCGCUCGUGGUGUGAUAGUUUAUUCACCUUGAGUGUGGCUUGUAUGGUCUGGUUCUAAUCGUCUUAACAGACAAUACCUUGACUCUCUGACCUCAAAUCAGGUAGGACUACCCGCUGAACUUAAGCAUAUCAAUAAGCGGAGGA
rnacentral:rRNA from 1 species